GUCAGAUGAACNCUAGCUACAGGCUUAACACAUGCAAGUCGAGGGGCAGCAUCAUCAAAGCUUGCUUUGAUGGAUGGCGACCGGCGCACGGGUGAGUAACACGUAUCCAACCUGCCGACAACACUGGGAUAGCCUUUCGAAAGAAAGAUUAAUACCGGAUGGCAUAGUCUUCCCGCAUGGGAUGAUUAUUAAAGAAUUUCGGUUGUCGAUGGGGAUGCGUUCCAUUAGGCAGUUGGCGGGGUAACGGCCCACCAAACCNACGAUGGAUAGGGGUUCUGAGAGGAAGGUCCCCCACAUUGGAACUGAGACACGGUCCAAACUCCUACGGGAGGCAGCAGUGAGGAAUAUUGGUCAAUGGACGAGAGUCUGAACCAGCCAAGUAGCGUGAAGGAUGACUGCCCUAUGGGUUGUAAACUUCUUUUAUACGGGAAUAAAGUUAGCCACGUGUGGCUUUUUGUAUGUACCGUAUGAAUAAGGAUCGGCUAACUCCGUGCCAGCAGCCGCGGUAAUACGGAGGAUCCGAGCGUUAUCCGGAUUUAUUGGGUUUAAAGGGAGCGUAGGCGGGUUGUUAAGUCAGUUGUGAAAGUUUGCGGCUCAACCGUAAAAUUGCAGUUGAUACUGGCGACCUUGAGUGCAACAGAGGUAGGCGGAAUUCGUGGUGUAGCGGUGAAAUGCUUAGAUAUCACGAAGAACUCCGAUUGCGAAGGCAGCUUACUGGAUUGUAACUGACGCUGAUGCUCGAAGUGUGGGUAUCAAACAGGAU
rnacentral:rRNA from 1 species